rnacentral:lncRNA from 1 species
AGUGCUCUCUCAGCCCUUGGACUGAGGCAGGCCUCCUGAGGACCCUCUUCCAAGCGCUGCCCACUUCCCUGGCUGUUCUGACAGGUGCUUACCUUUGUACUGGGGCCAGUUGGGGACACGGAGAAUGGGGAGGUCUUAUUUUGGGGGUUCUGCAAAGAGAAAGUAGGAGCAAGGGGAUGGGAAUAGUGCAGUGAAGCAGCUUCUGACCACCCCCGCUCCCUGCCCUCCUACCAUAGGCGGCACAGAGCCCCCUCUGAACCCCUCUCCCCAUUCCUUCCCACCCCCUCCCGCUUAUCCACUCCCUCCUAACCUGAUGAUUAGUGUCUGGUCCAUUUCUUUCGGUGUCUGCAAAGAGAGGGAAAGGAUGUGUUGUCAUCAGCCACCCCCACCACAC